rnacentral:rRNA from 1 species
UACAGAGGAUGCAAGCGUUAUCCGGAAUGAUUGGGCGUAAAGCGUCUGUAGGUGGCUUUUUAAGUCCGCCGUCAAAUCCCAGGGCUCAACUCUGGACAGGCGGUGGAAACUACCAAGCUGGAGUACGGUAGGGGCAGAGGGAAUUUCCGGUGGAGCGGUGAAAUGCGUUGAUAUCAAUAGGAACUCCGGUGGCGAAGGCGGCACGCUGGACCUCUUCUGACGCUGAGGCGCGAAAGCGUGGGUAGCAAACAGG